UUACACACUCAAUCAAUCCAAUCGAAGUAAACAAGACUAUUUAUCAUAACUUCCACUGUCAUGGAAAGCAACACGGUCUCACGGGAGUCCUGCAACAUCCUGCCAUUGAGAUGGAUGGGAAUGCCAACAGUGUUGUUCAUCACCAAACAAGUUCUCAUGACUGAGGAUCACAACGGUAACAGACCAGUGAGAGCCGGGAUAAGCAGGAUCACAGUAUCCCAG